rnacentral:rRNA from 1 species
AACGCUGGCGGCAGGCCUAACACAUGCAAGUCGAGCGGAUGAAGGGAGCUUGCUCCUGGAUUCAGCGGCGGACGGGUGAGUAAUGCCUAGGAAUCUGCCUGGUAGUGGGGGAUAACGUCCGGAAACGGGCGCUAAUACCGCAUACGUCCUGAGGGAGAAAGUGGGGGAUCUUCGGACCUCACGCUAUCAGAUGAGCCUAGGUCGGAUUGGCUAGUUGGUGGGGUAAAGGCCUACCAAGGCGACGAUCCGUAACUGGUCUGAGAGGAUGAUCAGUCACACUGGAACUGAGACACGGUCCAGACUCCUACGGGAGGCAGCAGUGGGGAAUAUUGGACAAUGGGCGAAAGCCUGAUCCAGCCAUGCCGCGUGUGUGAAGAAGGUCUUCGGAUUGUAAAGCACUUUAAGUUGGGAGGAAGGGCAGUAAGUUAAUACCUUGCUGUUUUGACGUUACCAACAGAAUAAGCACCGGCUAACUUCGUG